rnacentral:rRNA from 1 species
UGGGGAAUUUUGGACAAUGGGGGAAACCCUGAUCCAGCAAUGCCGCGUGUGUGAAGAAGGCCUUCGGGUUGUAAAGCACUUUUGUCCGGAAAGAAAACUUCUGCCCUAAUACGGUGGGAGGAUGACGGUACCGGAAGAAUAAGCACCGGCUAACUACGUGCCAGCAGCCGCGGUAAUACGUAGGGUGCGAGCGUUAAUCGGAAUUACUGGGCGUAAAGCGUGCGCAGGCGGUUCGUUAAGACAGAUGUGAAAUCCCCGGGCUUAACCUGGGAACUGCAUUUGUGACUGGCGAGCUAGAGUAUGGCAGAGGGGGGUAGAAUUCCACGUGUAGCAGUGAAAUGCGUAGAGAUGUGGAGGAAUACCGAUGGCGAAGGCAGCCCCCUGGGCCAAUACUGACGCUCAUGCACGAAAGCGUGGGGAGCAAACAG